rnacentral:rRNA from 1 species
GAUGAACGCUGGCGGCGUGCCUAAUACAUGCAAGUCGAGCGAACAGACGAGGAGCUUGCUCCUCUGACAUUAGCGGCGGACGGGUGAGUAACACGUGGAUAACCUACCUAUAAGACUGGGAUAAUUUCGGGAAACCGGAGCUAAUACCGGAUAAUAUAUUGAACCGCAUGGUUCAAUAGUGAAAGACGGUUUUGCUGUCACUUAUAGAUGGAUCCGCGCCGCAUUAGCUAGUUGGUAAGGUAACGGCUUACCAAGGCAACGAUGCGUAGCCGACCUGAGAGGGUGAUCGGCCACACUGGAACUGAGACACGGUCCAGACUCCUACGGGAGGCAGCAGUAGGGAAUCUUCCGCAAUGGGCGAAAGCUUGACGGAGCAACGCCGCGUGAGUGAUGAAGGUCUUCGGAUCGUAAAACUCUGUUAUUAGGGAAGAACAAAUGUGUAAGUAACUAUGCACGUCUUGACGGUACCUAAUCAGAAAGCCACGGCUAACUACGUG